CCUGGGCUGGGCUACCACACCACGUAGGGGUGAAAGCUCCUCCUCAGAGCGUCGCAUUAACCGUUUGGAAUGUUCCAUCGGCUGGCGUCCCCCGCCCGCCCGGGUGUGGUAUCGCCCUGAGGUGAAAGGGAAAUAGGCAUAAAAUAAAGAAACUCCCAAACAGUGUGAAAAGAAUUAUGCUCAACGACUGAAAACAACAGAUGGAAACAUUCAUGCAUAUGGAAAUGUAUACUUAAAGUGCAAAUGGGAAAGAGUAAAUGUUGUGAAGUCUCAUCUACUGUUCUGAUUCUGACUCAGCUAAAGUCAGUAGCAAAACUCAUUAAAUUUCAGUGUUUUUCUCAAACAAGGCAUGUCAACCUCUAUCAUAGAACAUUUGCACAGGUCUGGCAAUGAGGAUCUCAAGACAUCUGAGUAUGAGUUGAACACUGUCUAGAUCAAAGGUGCUCUGACCACUUUAAUUAUUUAGGAUGUUUAGCCAUCUAAUUCGUUCAUGGCUGAAGUUUUUCUUAUGACAUCAUGCCAGUAGUUAACGACAGAAAUGAUUUGGAACCAUCAAGCUGUGGAAUAGCUAGCCUCCAUAUCUAGCUGAAGGAUUCUAAUGGAGCCUACUGGAAUAUCUGCUGAGCUGCAAUGCUGGUGAGAGAGAUCCUGUUUUACAAGCUCAAGUAUCACAGCUCUGACAAAUGAGUAAUCUUGAAAGAACUUGUCUUUGUCCCCCUCCCUUUUAUCCUUGAGGGAAAGAGCUUCAGUAACACCCUUGAGGCCACUGAGUUUAAAGGCAGCACAGUUUUUCCAAAUCCGUUCUUGGUGUGUCAUACUCUCCAUGUGACAGGAAAUGUGACUGUUGCAUUGCAGGACAUUUCUCACUUUGUCUUCAAAAUAUAGACCCUCAUCUUGUAUGGUACUGAAUGUCCACACCUCCCAUUGAAUGAACUCUGCAGGAUUAGAUUGUAACUAGUGAAGUGCACAUGUAGGAAGGUGACUGGAAGAAAAUUCAGUGGAAUAUUUUUCUCACCAAGAGCAUUGAUGGGUGCACUUUCUCCUCCACCACUGAAAUUUCUCCCUUCUCUUCUCAGCGUUUCCUUUCUUGGAUUAAAUAUUUUACAGAGGUUUUGAGGCUUGUUUGCUUUUGCAAUCUUAAGAGGCAUCUGGUGCUGGUGAAAACACAUCUGAACACUUCCCAUUUGGUGUGCCAUUAAAUAUCUUAGUACAGCUGUUCUGAACAUCCCAUCCCAAGCUGGAAUAGGAAGAGAAGUCCAGCCAGCCAUUUCCCCUGUGGCCAGCCAUAAGGAUCUUCCGGAAGUUAUCAACAUCAGUCCUGAAUUGUGGGCACCAGAAUUGGACACAGUGUAGCAGAAGCAGUUGUACCAGUGCAAAAUAUAAAGGAGCCUGAGCAGAGGGCUGGAUUGAAAGGAGGAGCCCAAGAGGGACUGAAGGGAGAAAGCACCCUCAGGAAGGAGGGGCUGAGUCCAGCCUGAACAAGGGAUUGGAAGAUUUUUGCUUGGGAGGACAAGAAAUAAGGUGAUAAAAGGCCUGUUUCUGAAGGGCCAGCAGCAGCACUGUGCUAUCCUACAGGAAACCUCCAGAGCUGCAGAUCCCUGGCCUGGUGCGCUGCUGGGCGUGAGUGCGACAGCAGCUCUGAAAAGGGCUGGAAUUGAAGGAGAGAAGAGGAGAAUGCCUUAUGAACAGACAGGAGGACAAAGGGAGUUUGUUCUUUUAAGGGCUUGAUCCUGUGGUGCUGAGUGCUGGAGUUGAGAUAACUCAGCACCACACAAAUUUCACUAAGCACCUUGCAAGAUUGGGCCCUGCACACUUUGCUCUGAUUAUUGGGGUAAUGCUUUCUUUUCCUAGGGGAAGGUAAACCUACCUUACAAAGCAGGAAUUAUUAAUAAUAAACAAUAACAUAUAGCACAUUUCCUUCCAAAGGAAAUCACAGUCAUUGCUUUACAGUCUGGACAGGGAUAAUCAAACAAGCCACUGAACUGCAGCCAUCUCUGGGGUGGAAACAUAGCCAUCAUUCAGCACUUACAACACUACAAAGCAGUCAGACACAGGACCACCCAGAGGAGGGGGGAAAGUGGGGCAAUUUGCCCCAGGCCCCACAGGGGCCCC